rnacentral:rRNA from 1 species
GUCCACACCGUAAACGAUGAUUACUAGGUGUUGGAGGAUUGACCCCUUCAGUGCCGCAGUUAACACAAUAAGUAAUCCACCUGGGGAGUACGACCGCAAGGUUGAAACUCAAAGGAAUUGACGGGGGCCCGCACAAGCAGUGGAGUAUGUGGUUUAAUUCGACGCAACGCGAAGAACCUUACCAAGUCUUGACAUCCGUUGACCGCUGUAGAAAUACAGUUUUCCUCGGGACAGCGAGACAGGUGGUGCAUGGUUGUCGU